rnacentral:rRNA from 1 species
CCUACGGGAGGCAGCAGUCGAGAAUCAUUCACAAUGGGGGAAACCCUGAUGCUGCGACGCCGCGUGCAGGAAUGAAGGUCUUCGGAUUGUAAACCCCUGUCAUGUGGGAGCAAAUUAAAAAGAUAGUACCACAAGAGGAAGAGACGGCUAACUCUGUGCCAGCAGCCGCGGUAAUACAGAGGUCUCAAGCGUUGUUCGGAAUCACUGGGCGUAAAGGGUGCGUAGGCUGUUUCGUAAGUCGUGUGUGAAAGGCGCGGGCUCAACCCGCGGACGGCACAUGAUACUGCGUGACUAGAGUAAUGGAGGGGGAACCGGAAUUCUCGGUGUAGCAGUGAAAUGCGUAGAUAUUGAGAGGAACACUCGUGGCGAAGGCGGGUUCCUGGACAUUAACUGACGCUGAGGCACGAAGGCCAGGGGAGCGAAAGGGAUUAGAUACCCUUGUAGUC